GACGAACCGUGCGAACGUUGUUCGGAAUCACUGGGCUUAAAGGGCGCGUAGGCGGCUGAUUUAGUCGAGGGUGAAAGCCCGUGGCUCAACCACGGAAUGGCCUCGAUACUGGUUGGCUUGAGACCGGAAGAGGACAGCGGAACUGCGAGUGUAGAGGUGAAAUUCGUAGAUAUUCGCAAGAACACCGGUGGCGAAGGCGGGUCUCUGGGCCAUUACUGACGCUGAGGAGCGAAAGCGUGGGGAGCGAACAGG
rnacentral:rRNA from 1 species